GAAGUGUUGAGGCAUUUUCUGGAGAGCGGGGUCCAAAUGGAGAAAAGGAGACACGAGGUGUUUUCUGGAGAUGGGGUUCACAUUGGCGAUCGCGAGUAAUCGUCAGGCGACUGGGGUUCAAACUGGAGGUGUUUUCUGGAGAUGGGGUUCACAUUGGCGAUCGCGAGUAAUCGUCAGGCGACUGGGGUUCAAACUGGAGAAUGGGGUUCAUUAUUUUGGCAAACAGGAGAACGGGGUUCAAAUGCAGUGAUCUGGGAUCAUUUGCGC
rnacentral:lncRNA from 1 species